rnacentral:ribozyme from 1 species
UCUUUUUUUUUCUUACACACUAAUUCAUAACCCAUCUGGAGGUUUAUAUUAUUUUCUUUCUAAACACUGGAACGCUCUACAAGAAGGCCGUAGGUAUCAGAAAAAAAAAAAAAAAAAAAAA